rnacentral:rRNA from 1 species
AACGAAUGCUGGCGGCAGGCCUUACACAUGCAAGUCGAACGUGAAAGUCCUUCGGGAUGAGUAAAGUGGCGCACGGGUGAGUAACGCGUGGGAACAUGCCCUUCAGUACGGGAUAACAGCGGGAAACUGCUGCUAAUACCGUAUAUUCCCUACGGGGGAAAGAUUUAUCGCUGAAGGAUUGGCCCGCGUUAGAUUAGCUAGUUGGUGAGGUAAUGGCUCACCAAGGCUACGAUCUAUAGCCGGUCUGAGAGGACGAUCGGCCACACUGGAACUGAGACACGGUCCAGACUCCUACGGGAGGCAGCAGUGGGGAAUAUUGGACAAUGGGCGAAAGCCUGAUCCAGCCAUGCCGCGUGAGUGAUGAAGGCCUUAGGGUUGUAAAGCUCUUUUGGCGGGGAAGAUAGUGACGGUACCCGCAGAAUAAGCCCCGGCUAACUUCGUGCCAGCCGCCGCGGUAA